UACGGGGGGGGGAAGCGUUGUUCGGAAUUACUGGGCGUAAAGGGCUCGUAGGCGGCCAACUAAGUCGGACGUGAAAUCCCUCAGCUUAACUGGGGAACUGCGUCCGAUACUGGAUGGCUUGGAUUUGGGAGAGGGAUGCGGAAUUCCAGGUGUAGCGGUGAAAUGCGCAGAUAUCAGGAGGAACACCGGUGGCGAAGGCGGGUCUCUGGGCCGAUACUGACGCUGAGGAGCGAAAGCGUGGGGAGCGAACAGG
rnacentral:rRNA from 1 species